GUGGUUGCACAAACAUCUGGAGUCGUGGGGUACACAUAUUCUUCCACCGAAUAUGCUGGUACUGGCUCAAAUGCUGUUCCUGAUGCUGGUGCCUUUGCAGCUGUAGAUACCAGAACUUUAGCUGGAUCUGCUGCUCCUACAGAUGCAGCAUAUUCUCUGACUGAUGGUUCAAAUUUAGGUGAGGGGAACACAUAUGGCACAGAUCCAAAUACUGUUAUGCAAGAGGCCCCUGGUAGUAUAACCUAUGAGGCUAGUGCUGGUACAACUGAGACUAGCUCGAAUCUUGCAGCUGCUGAGUUGUCUCAAGCUGCUGGUUAUGACUCAUCUGUAAAUGGAAAUGCUAUUACUGAAGCCAGGAAUUUCCCUUCUGUUGACAAUGGAAAUGCUUCUGAUGUUGGUGGAGCUGCUGU
rnacentral:lncRNA from 1 species